GGGUGAGUAACGCGUGGGCAACCUGCCCUGUACCGGGGGACAACAGCCAGAAAUGGCUGCUAAUACCGCAUAAGCCUGCUGUGCCGCAUGGCACAGCAGGGAAAACCACGGUGGUACAGGAUGGGCCCGCGUCUGAUUAGUUAGUUGGCAGGGUAACGGCCUACCAAGACAACGAUCAGUAGCCGGCUUGAGAGAGUGGACGGCCACAUUGGGACUGAGACACGGCCCAGACUCCUGCGGGAGGCAGCAGUGGGGAAUAUUGCACAAUGGGGGGAACCCUGAUGCAGCAAUGCCGCGUGGGUGAAGAAGCACUCCGGUGUGUAAAGCCCUGUCAGCAGGGAAGAAAAUGACAGUACCUGGACAAGAAGCCCCGGCUAACUACGUGCCAGCAGCCGCGGUAAUACGUAGGGGGCAAGCGUUAUCCGGAUUUACUGGGUGUAAAGGGAGCGCAGGCGGCGUGGCAAGUCAGAUGUGAAAACCCGGGGCCCAACCCCGGGAGUGCAUUUGAAACUGCCAUGCUGGAGUGCCGGAGAGGUAAGCGGAAUCCCUAGUGUAGCGGUGAAAUGCGUAGAUAUUAGGAGGAACACCAGUGGCGGAGGCGGCUUACUGGACGGUAACUGACGCUGAGGCUCGAAAGCGUGGGGAGCAAACAGGAUUAGAUACCCUGGUAGUCCACGCCGUAA
rnacentral:rRNA from 1 species